AGAGUUUGAUCCUGGCUCAGGAUGAACGCUGGCGGCGUGCCUAACACAUGCAAGUCGAGCGAGAUCUUCUGGAACGAAACUUCGGUCUAGUGAAGGAAGUGGAAGCGGCGGACGGGUGAGUAACGCGUAGGCAACCUGCCCCAUACAGAGGGAUAGCCUCGGGAAACCGGGAUUAAAACCUCAUAAAGCGAAUUUAUCACAUGGUUUAUUCGCCAAAGAUUUAUCGGCAUGGGAUGAGCCCGCGGCCCAUCAGCUCGUUGGCGGGGUAACGGCCCACCAAGGCUACGACGGGUAGCUGGUCUGAGAGGACGAUCAGCCACACUGGAACUGAGACACGGUCCAGACUCCUACGGGAGGCAGCAGUGGGGAAUCUUGCGCAAUGGGCGAAAGCCUGACGCAGCAACGCCGCGUGUGUGAUGAAGGUCUUCGGAUCGUAAAGCACUGUCGGGAGGGACGAAUAAGGGCCGGGUGAACAAUCCGGUUCGAUGACGGUACCUCCAAAGGAAGCACCGGCUAACUCUGUGCCAGCAGCCGCGGUAAUACAGAGGGUGCAAGCGUUGUUCGGAAUUAUUGGGCGUAAAGCGCGUGUAGGCGGUCUCGCAAGUCGGAUGUGAAAGCCCUCGGCUUAACCGAGGAAGUGCGUUCGAAACUACGAGACUUGAGUACCGGAGAGGGUGGCGGAAUUCCCGGUGUAGAGGUGAAAUUCGUAGAUAUCGGGAGGAACACCAGUGGCGAAGGCGGCCACCUGGACGGCUACUGACGCUGAGACGCGAAAGCGUGGGGAGCAAACAGGAUUAGAUACCCUGGUAGUCC
rnacentral:rRNA from 1 species